rnacentral:misc_RNA from 1 species
GUCCGAACUCCCCGGACCAAGGCUAUCAAUAGAACUCCCCGAGGUGGGGAAUAAGGGGUAACUCAAAUUAUUUUUACAUGAUCCAAGCAUGUGGUGUAUUUCAAGAGUUGUUGUUGCCUGGCCUGCUGCAUCACCAUUUAUAUUGCGAGCCUCUGCCGUGAAAUUUCGUCGAAAUCGCUGAGCUCGACAUCACUGCGAAGGCCGCCCGUUCCUGCCGUCCAGCCGACAAGCAGCGCCAGAGCUGCGUCCGCUAACGGCGGUGCCUCGGCAGACCAGACUCGUCUUCUCCGGCCGGUGACGGUGAGUGCCGUCCAGAUGUCACGGACAGAGACUGAACACGAGCCCGGCACUCUCAGCAGCUACAGCGGUCCCCACGACACAGCGGAGCACACCGUGACAUCUAGCGACUGAAAAGCUAGCGACGGCAAAAUGUGUUUAUCGCGUAGACUAGGGGGCGCCCCGUGCCAUCCGGUAAUCCAGCGGAGCGCACCGCAUCUUCGCGAGCCAGUGGAACGAGCGGCGGCAUCCCCGCCACACUAGACAUUGGCUGUGAUAUCAUGGAAUUAGGGGGAGUCAUUUGUGUUACCUGAGCUGUGUUACCUGGCGUUAAACAUCAGAUUUUGUAUUGUCGAGUGCAGGUACAGUAAUACAUGAUCUUUUUGUUU